rnacentral:rRNA from 1 species
UUUGUAGCCUUCUAUGGUAUAAUUUAGUUGGCAGACGGGUGAGUAAUGUAUAGGAAUCUACCUAGUAGUACGGAAUAAUUGUUGGAAACGACAACUAAUACCGUAUACGCCCUACGGGGGAAAAAUUUAUUGCUAUUAGAUGAGCCUAUAUUAGAUUAGCUAGUUGGUGGGGUAAUAGCCUACCAAGGUAAUGAUCUAUAGCUGAUCUGAGAGGAUGAUCAGCCACACUGGAACUGAGAUACGGUCCAGACUCCUACGGGAGGCAGCAGUGGGGAAUAUUGGACAAUGGGCGAAAGCCUGAUCCAGCCAUGCCGCAUGAGUGAAGAAGGCCUUUGGGUUGUAAAGCUCUUUUAGUGAGGAAGAUAAUGACGGUACUCACAGAAGAAGUCCUGGCUAACUCCGUGCCAGCAGCCGCGGUAAUACGGAGAGGGCUAGCGUUAUUCGGAAUUAUUGGGCGUAAAGGGCGCGUAGGCUGGUUAAUAAGUUAAAAGUGAAAUCCCGAGGCUUAACCUUGGAAUUGCUUUUAAAACUAUUAAUCUAGAGAUUGAAAGAGGAUAGAGGAAUUCCUGAUGUAGAGGUAAAAUUCGUAAAUAUUAGGAGGAACACCAGUGGCGAAGGCGUCUAUCUGGUUCAAAUCUGACGCUGAAGCGCGAAGGCGUGGGGAGCAAACAGGAUUAGAUACCCUGGUAGUCCACGCUGUAAACGAUGAAUGUUAAAUAUGGGGAGUUUACUUUCUGUAUUACAGCUAACGCGUUAAACAUUCCGCCUGGGGACUACGGUCGCAAGAUUAAAACUCAAAGGAAUUGACGGGGACCCGCACAAGCGGUGGAGCAUGUGGUUAAUUCGAUGCAACGCGAAAACCUUACCACUUCUUGACAUGAAAAUCAA